rnacentral:rRNA from 1 species
GCGGUAAUACCAGCUCCCCGAGUGGUGGGGGUAAUUAUUGGGCCUAAAGCGUCCGUAGCUGGCUUAGCAAGUCUCUUGUUAAAUCCAACGAUCCAAUCGUUGGACUGCAGGAGAUACUGUUAGGCUAGGGGGCGGAAGAAGCCGACGGUACUCCUGAGGUAGGGGUGAAAUCCUAUAAUCCCAG